rnacentral:misc_RNA from 1 species
GUUUCAGAACGGAACUACGGGCUUUUCUAUCCUAGUAAAGAAAAGGUUUACGAUAUUACGCUUACUCUAGAAGGUUUAGAGGCUGGGGUUAAUAACGGAAGUAAAAGCCAGGUGGUGAAGAUUCCGGUACCGUCUCCGUCGUCGUCGCCGUCUCCAGCGCCGGUUGUUGGCGGCGGUGUGGAGGAGAGUAAGGUGGUGAACACGUGGUGUGUGGCGAAUGAGAA